UACGAAGGGGGCAAGCGUUGUCCGGAAUCAUUGGGCGUAAAGAGCGUGUAGGCGGUCCGGUCAGUCGGUUGUGAAAGUCAAGGGCUCAACCCUUGAAUGCCGGCCGAUACUGCCGGGCUAGAGUCCGGAAGAGGUGAGUGGAAUUCCUGGUGUAGCGGUGAAAUGCGCAGAUAUCAGGAGGAACACCGAUGGCGAAGGCAGCUCACUGGGACGGUACUGACGCUGAGACGCGAAAGCGUGGGGAGCAAACAGG
rnacentral:rRNA from 1 species